CCUGUGCUUCUCAGGAAGCUCUUCUGAGUGCUGGUGACACUCACGCUGCAACCUCUGCCUGGGCCGCGCUGCUCCUCUCCUUCCGUCUUAGCUACUCAGGCAUCUUCCUCCAGGAAGCCUGCCCGGAUUCCCUUCUCUGGGCUGACAUCUAUGGUCUACUUUACUUUUUGGUCUCCGUAAGACACUCAGAAUUCUUUGAUGACGGAGAUUGCCCUCAUUGUGUUUUAUAUUCCAGCAUUUAGUGAAGGCGCUCAAUAAAAUUUUACUAAAUGAGUGGAAGUAUAUUGCAAAAUUAAGGCUUUUUUCGAAAUAAAAAGGAAAAUAUGUCUAAAAGGUAGAUCUUGCACAAUUUUAUUCUGGCCCUCAUUAUUCAUAAAGGUAUUUUAAAAACACGUACUGAAGGGUUUACUGGACAAUUGCCAACUGUCCUUCAUUAAAAAUAUUUUAUCCCUCCGAACCACAUAAAUAUGCUGUUGCCUCAAGUGAUUAUUUUUCAACGAAUGUAUCCAUUCAGAACAGCAUAACUGAGUGAUUCUACAUAGAGAAUAAAACCACCACAAAAUCACGAUAAAAAUGUAAAAGCACAAUGAUGAUUGCACUUUGAAUAACUAGAUGUCGCCUAGCUCUGCCACUGACUCCAAUGCGGACAAGCCAGUGGCGCUCUGGCCUCAGGGCCCCCACCCAAGGGUGGGGGGUAACCACCCUUGACACUUCUGCUGCGUUCGGAUCCGGCGAGAUACCUGCAAGAGCGGGGAUCUUCACGACAAAGGCAGCAUUAUCCAAAGUGCUGUCCAACCCCAAGGGUUCCUGUCACUCAUUACGGUGAUAACCCUCCCUGCCCUCCUGCUGUCCUGAGCAGGCGGGCAGUGCGGACUCUUGCUUAGAGCCUCUGCCAGUCAAAGGCCCCAUGGUGGGCGCAGUGCCUCUCCGGGGGUCCAGUCUGAGCUAGAAGUCGCGAGGAGUCGCCUGCAGGGGCCACGACGGCGCCGCUCUGCCCCCCGCGCUCUCCUGCAGGUAAGGGACUGUCUACCCACAACAGAGGCCAGACAGAGCAGCUCAGGAGGAGGGCGGGUAUCUGGGGCAGAGUGUGUGCCCUUGGCAAGGUCAUGUGGCUUCUACCUGUAAGAGUUUGAGAUUUUAAGACUAUACGCCUUGAACCCGCCACUGAGAGCCCCACCCAGGAGGACGCCCGUCACCACCAGGAUAUCUUUCCCCAUUUUAUCUGCCACAUCCUUUGCUCCACAAAAAGAAAAUUCCUGGUUUGUUCUCCCCUCUGCUGAAUUUCAGGUCAGCUAUUCUUUUGGGUGACUGUUUCCAAGUCAGGUGUCCAUUAUUUGUUUUUGUGACUUUUAAUAUUUAUUCAGGUAAUUCGUGGGUUAAAGUCCACUUCUCCCACAAGAUUGUUUCACAAGGAUAGAGACUGUUUUCCAUUAGCCCCCAUGUAUCCUCAGAACCUAGCGAGUGCUUGGCACAUAAUAGAUGUGCAAUAAAUAUUUCUGGAAUGAGUGAAUGCAUAAAGGGUUUAAAUUGGGAGGUCAGUUGCAUCUCCUCUAUCUCUCUCUCAAGCGGUAGGAAGGGCCCUCAGGGGUUAAUAGAUCCUUGUUAAGCGGAGAUAUUCUGCACCAUAGCUAGAAGUAUGCUUGGACUAGUUUUUUUUGCACUGUCCUUUGACAUUUAAAGAGCAGAAGGGUAAUACUGGAUUUGAUCUCAAAAUCAGUGUACAAGGAAUUUAGUAACUACGAAGAUAAUUAUUUCAGUGACAAUGGAAGAAUUAAUUUUUCAUAAUUUUGAUAUAGCCCUAUAGAACUAUGAUUAACUAUAUACUUAUUAAACAUUGUGCUAAGUACUUUACAUGCACUUUAAAAAUUUUAUUUUAUUUUUUCAAGUCAGAUUUAUUGAGGCAUACUUGACAUUCAGUGAAAUUCAUACUUUUCUAUGUACAGUUCUAUGAAUUUUGACAAAUGCACAUAAUCAUGUAAUUACCAUCACAAUCAUGAUAUGGAAUAUGUCCAUCACCCCCCAAAAUCCUCUUGUGUCCCUUUUACACACAUUAUUUAAGCCUCCUCACUACUUUAUAGGUAUUCACAUUUACUAUUCUCAUUUUCUUUGGAGAAGAGAAGUUGAGGCUAAGAACAGUGGAGUAACUUACUCAGGUUACACAGUAAGUGGUAGCACUUGGAUUCCAGCCCAAUAUCUGGUUGAUUCUAAAUCCUAUGAUUCAAGCACUCUACCAUGUUUAUUAUUUUGCUGUAUUCUGUUUCUUCAGCAUUAUAUUUCAAAUUUAAUUACACAGUGAAUAGCCAUAGAGCUGUGACAGUAAGAGGAAACUUAAAUGACACUUCUGAAAUUACUAAGAAUGGGGUAAAUGAGUUAUGAGAUAAAUUUUAUGUGAAGUUAGAGGUGGACACUUUUUGAACAAGAUGAACAGCAGGCACAUUUUCAGUUUAUGAAUGUGGUAGUAAACAUUUCAGUAGUGCUGAGUUUUAAUUUCACACUUGAGGACUCCAUUUGUCCCUUGAAUCUAGAAAUGUCCUAGGAUAAAAUGUGGGAGCUGAUGGCUGCCUGACAUGUCAGGCCUGUCCUCAAGUAGCUUGCCAUCCAGUUCCACGGAUCAAACAUCUGCAUUAUGGCUUGAGGCGGAGUUCGGACAUGAUGGUAGCCAUCACUAGACCCUGGCUCUGCUCUGGUCCAUCUGAAUUCCAAAAACCUCUCUACCAACGGUGGUGGAAAUGAACAGCAGCAGAAGUCAGAGGGUCAGCCUUACAAAGCCAUCUUUACCACAUCCUUGCAUGAAGCUGGCUUAAAACUGCAGGAAACAAGUCAUUAAUUUGCUGAUGGCUCAAACCUGUCUGUUGCAGAAAUCUCUAAGUUAACAACUCCUAAAACAUGUAUUUUAUCAAGAAAGCUUUUAACACCAGGAGUGGACAAACAUUUCCAUUGCAUAGUCUAAAACAAAAUAUGUUGCUUUGAGCUAAUUAUAGGUCCACGACAAACACAUACCUUCAUGCCUAGAUGUUUGCUUACAGUCACAAAAAUUAGUUGUCCUCCUUUCUACAUUCAGUCAAACCUCUAUGAUGAUACCUGGUGAUGCCAUUACUACAAACAUAACUGCCACUAAGCAACAUUGAGUCCUAGGAGAUACUUAAAAAUUUCCCCUUUAUUGGUAUAUUAUUAAUAUUAAUGCUUGAGCAACCUUAAGAAUGCCUAGAGAGAGUGGCUCAUGGGUUAAUUAUAGACAGUUCUCACUGCAUAAGUUAAAGCCUGAUUAGGAUAGUUUAAGAUUUCUCAAUAUGGAGAUGUCAUGUAUUAGAAUAAUCCUAGGUCAUGUUUAUUUCAGUAACUUUAAAGGUUGCACAUUUAGUCUUCAAGGAUAAUUUUUUUUAACACAACCAAGAGUUACAUAAAGCCAAAUAUGGUGAAUAAAAUAGAUAAUGCAAACAGGGCUUUUUUUUUCAGGAGGAGAGGUCUAAAAGUUAGCUGUGUUUAUAAAGUUAUGUGAAUUAUUUUUCUUGUGUGUUUGUUCAACUGAGUUUUAAGGCAGUUGCAAAAGCGUUUUGUUGAUGUAUUGAGAAAUUACAUUAUUAUCCAACAAGUAUGUAGCCUUCUGGAUUUCAGCUUUGAAGAUGGAUAACAUAUUUUAUAUUCCAUUAUGUUUGUGUAAAAAAAUUACCCAACUUUAUAGUUAUACCUUUAAGCUAAUGGCCUUCAUCUAUGUAAUUCAUUUUAGUUAUAAAGAGAAUUUAUUGGUGAUUGGGAGUUACCAGUAGAAUUUUUGAUAAAUACAUCCUUCAGUCAAUUAACAAGCAUGGCUCAAGACACUAGUGCUAUGUGAGAUGCAAAACAUCCUUUAGGAAUUUAACAUCUAGUUUAACACAUAGACUAAUAAAUAUCAAAUGAUUAGAGGACAAAAUAAAGAUGUUGCU